GGUUCUGAUGAGUACAAUAAUGCAGACAGCAAAUGAGUAACAACAACAUUUCAAAAUCCUCAGGGAAAAAAGUCCGUUCUGUGUGUUUUUUGAAUAUUUCUCACGAAGUCAGCCAAAUUGUUAGUUGUAAAGAGUCCAUGGUUUAAAACGAAAUGAGGUAUGCCAUUGGAAAACAGAUUGACAGUGGGGAUAAACAGAUGUGGUAGAAAUCCUGUCUCUAUAUGUUUUCGUAGACGUUCCAAUGACAACUUAAAUCUAAGACCAAGGUUCUGGUUUUC
rnacentral:lncRNA from 1 species